UUGCACCUACGGGCGCAGCAGUGAGGAAUAUUGGUCAAUGGUCGGGAGACUGAACCAGCCAAGCCGCGUGAGGGAUGAAGGUACAGAGUAUCGUAAACCUCUUUUGUCAGGGAACAAAGGCGGGGACGUGUCCCCGGAUGAGUGUACCUGAAGAAAAAGCAUCGGCUAACUCCGUGCCAGCAGCCGCGGUAAUACGGAGGAUGCGAGCGUUAUCCGGAUUUAUUGGGUUUAAAGGGUGCGCGGGCGGUCUGUUAAGGCAGCGGGCAAAGACCGGGGCUCAACCCCGGCCCGCCGUUGAAACUGGG
rnacentral:rRNA from 1 species